UGAUGAGGGCAGCGGGUGGGGCAGAGGGCCCCCACGCAGUGCCGGGAGAGUUCCCUAGCUGAUCUCGCCCGGGCCCUUCCUCCCCUUCCUCCCCUCCCUCCCCUUCCUCCCCGCCUCUGCACUGGGAUCCUGGGAUGGUCUGGGGUGCAGCCAAGGUGAUGGUGAAAGAUGAGAGUAGGGGAAUAGACUCCAAAAGGAGAAACAAAACAAAACCAUUCACGGAUGUUGGAUGUUGGAGAGCAAUAGAACUCCUGCUUUCAAUGGUCCCAGAAACCCAACUACGCUCAGCUUUCGGUUUGGAGAGCCAGUCCUCGUUUGCAACCAUAGACACAUGUAUCCACCCCCGAGCACGCGCUUACACUGCUAUAAAGAGAGCCGGCGCCUCGGUAGCAGCGGCCUGCAAGGAAGAAUCUGGCACCGCUUCAAGGGGAAACCAAACUGUAGUGACCAGAAAUGUUCUGAGGACAAAAUAAGGCAUUCUUUCUGUCCACGUUGCUAGGACAACAUAUCAAUUUAAGCACACCUCGGCUUGCUUAAGGCUAUACCAGAAAGAAGAAACAGAUAUAGAGAAAAAAAAAAAAACAUGGUAGCGAAACCGACAAAAAAAUGCGAGAAGAAUCUAUGCAGACGGAGAUAUGGAACAGCAGAGACAAGACUAAGGAAAUGCAGAUUAGAGGCCCGAGAAAGGGGCUGGUGUAGAGGCUCCUCCAGGCCCCUGUGCGCUCUGGCAUUCUGUGAGAAGGAGAAAGCAGAAACCGAGAACAGAGAGUGACAGGAAAAGAAAAGAGACGCGGAAGGGGUUGACCUAGGCACGCUGUGAGCUUCCCCGUAGCUAAGAAGCUGGGGGUGGGGGGGCGAAGUCCCGAGGCGCAGAGCCAAGGUCUGGCUCUUCAACUAAGCCAGGA
rnacentral:lncRNA from 1 species